GACGAACGCUGGCGGCGUGCUUAACACACGCAAGUCGAACGGAGCGAAUGAAAGCUUGCUUUUAUGAGCUUAGUGGCAAACGGGUGAGUAACACGUAGACAACCUGCCGACAGGAUGGGGACAACAUUCCGAAAGGAAUGCUAAUACCGAAUGAAGCGGAGGAGAGGCAUCUCUCCUCCGUGAAAGAUGGCCUCUAUUUAUAAGCUAUCACCUGUCGAUGGGUCUGCGUCUGAUUAGCUGGUUGGUGAGGUAACGGCUCACCAAGGCGACGAUCAGUAGCCGGUCUGAGAGGAUGAACGGCCACAUUGGGACUGAGACACGGCCCAGACUCCUACGGGAGGCAGCAGUGGGGAAUCUUCCGCAAUGGGCGCAAGCCUGACGGAGCAACGCCGCGUGAGUGAAGAAGGUCUUCGGAUCGUAAAGCUCUGUUGACGGGGACGAACGUACGGAGUGCGAAUAGUGCUCUGUAAUGACGUACCUUCGAG
rnacentral:rRNA from 1 species